rnacentral:rRNA from 1 species
UACGAAGGGGGGCUAGCGUUGCUCGGAAUCACUGGGCGUAAAGGGUGCGUAGGCGGGUCUUUAAGUCAGGGGUGAAAUCCUGGAGCUCAACUCCAGAACUGCCUUUGAUACUGUCGAUCUAGAGUAUGGAAGAGGUGAGUGGAAUUCCGAGUGUAGAGGUGAAAUUCGUAGAUAUUCGGAGGAACACCAGUGGCGAAGGCGGCUCACUGGUCCAUUACUGACGCUGAGGUGCGAAAGCGUGGGGAGCAAACAGG